rnacentral:rRNA from 1 species
UACGGGGGGAGCAAGCGUUGUUCGGAUUUACUGGGCGUAAAGGGUGCGUAGGCGGCCGCGCAAGUCUGGCGUGAAAGCCCCGGGCUCAGCCCGGGAAGGGCGCUCGAAACGGCGCGGCUCGAGUGCCGGAGGGGAGAGUGGAAUUCCUGGUGUAGCGGUGAAAUGCGCAGAUAUCAGGAGGAACACCGGUGGCGAAGGCGGGUCUCUGGGCCGAUACUGACGCUGAGGAGCGAAAGCGUGGGGAGCGAACAGG